CUUAUGUACAGGAUGGUGGGUAAUGGUAAAUCCACAGUUUCUGCUUUGUCAUUUUGCAAUACAUACCAGUCUUUUUAAUUAGUUAGAUGAGUAAAUCAGAGCCACAUGUAGACUAAGGAAGGUUAAGCAGGAGUGGGUAACAGAGACUUACCUCAAAUUCUCUGCCUACUAGCUCCUUUAGAUUUGUCAUUUUUACAGAUACUUGGAAAACCUUUUUUUUCUUUCUUUCUUUUUGUUUCUUUCUUUUCUUUUCUUUUCUUUUCUUUUCUUUUCUUUUCUUUUCUUUUCUUUCUUUCUUCUUUCUUUCUUUCUUUCUCUCUUUUCUCUUUCUCUCUUUCUCUUUUUCUUUAGUGUGAAAAUUUAUUGGGAAAAGGAAUGGAAAAUAGGAAAAGCUCCUGACAAACAGGAGGGAGCCCGAAUGGGUUGCCCAGAAAAUUUGCCUGCUCUGUUUUAUGUUAAUAUUUGUGUUAAGAAUUUCUUCUCAACAAGGGGCUGUUACUACAAAUGGGGGCCAGAAAUGAUUGAGAAAUACAAAUAUUUUGAGUUUUCUAUUUUUAUGCAUGAUACUGAACUUAAUAGUUUUGUUAGGUACAGACUUGAUAUUUUUAGGUUAGUGAAAAUAGAAAGAUAGAACCCUAAAUUCUGGAAGACAGAAAUCCAGUUUCAUUGUCCUUGACUUCUUAAAAUUCUUCUCACAAUGAGUAAACUGGACAGUUACGCAUUUUCUCACAUUUCCCACCUGCCCUACCCACAAGGUUUUUAAAGAAUGUAUUUGUCUGCUUCCUCCAAGUUGUCUGAGGUUGUUCAAGACAGAAACUGAAACACAUGGAAGUGUCUGGAUCAGACUGGAAAAUUUGAAAUUAAUCAUCUCUAUGACCAGACCUCUGAGAAGAGGACAAACUUCCAGGGUUGAGACAAGGAACAAGGCACGUAUUGGGUGGAAGCCUUUUUUCUCUCAGAAAUUAAUCUCACUAAACAGUUUAUAUUCUGUUUCUUCUCUAGGGAAAGAAGAGAUCUCUUACUGCCGCCACGCAAAGUUUAUCCUUUACUUCUCAGCAAUGCUGGACUCCUUUUUCCUCUCUCUUGAGAUUAGUACAGAUGAGGACCAGUCUUAUCCAACUGAGAGAUAAAG
rnacentral:lncRNA from 1 species